UUCUUAUCGAGAGCGGCGGAGGGACUGGCCCGAUGAAGCCCGGCAACCGUCUUGCGGGGAGGCGUCUCCUCACCCGGGGCAUGAGGUGGAACCCGGAUAAGAGAACUUCCCCGCGGGAUCUGGUGCCAAUUCCUGCGGAACGCGCUGAAUGCGAU
rnacentral:ncRNA from 2 species